rnacentral:tRNA from 1 species
GGGGAUUUAGCUUAGCGGCAUAAGCACCUGCCUUGCAAGCAGGCGGUCGUGAGUUCAAACUCCAAUCCCAA